rnacentral:misc_RNA from 1 species
GUGAAUCAUCAAAUCUUUGAACGCAAAUUGCACUCCUUGGUAUUCCGGAGAGCAUGCCUGUUUGAGGGUCAGUUUAAAUAAAAAUCGGUGUGGUUGCUGCCUUUCUUGGUUACGCACCGGAUUUGGGUCGUCUUCCCUUCGGUUAAGUGACCUAAAAUUUUGCAUGAUGUUUCGAACGUAUUUAAAUGUUUUUACGUACGUUUGCGAUACCGAAUACUAGUUGUGGUCAUCUUCAUGAUUCGCGCC